rnacentral:siRNA from 1 species
UCCCAAGUGUAUUCCUCACGGCCU